GGUGGGGUAAGUGAUUGUCUUUGUGGGGGGAACGAAUCGCUGUUCACGGAGCCACUGAAGCAGAUUCGUGGCUCACUCGUCACUGUUCGGCUCAAGGUCACUCACAUCUUGACCUCGUGUGACCUUGCGGUGACCUCCUGACUCAAGGCGGAGGUGUGAAGCUUCGAGACAUGUACCGAAGCUUCACUGGUGCGUGUCCGAAGCAGCAGUAGCGGCGGCGGCGGUGGUGGAGGCGGCGAUGGUGGAGUCUCAUCCUUGGUUUUAAAUAUUAAGAGCGUCUCCUUGACUCCUCCCCCCCCUCCCCGACACGGCCCCGAGAGCUCUUGAUGAAUAAAUAUGAGGUGGGAAUAGGUUCUCUUAGGGACGCCGAGCCCGGGUCAGUCCACUUGGUCCUGGCGGGGGAGUCCUGGUCGGGGCCAUUCGGGAGGGGAAGUGAGUCGCUGUCCACCAUUUCACGCAAGGUCGAAAGUCCCGGUACAACCCUUCGCCAGAGAGUCCGUCCGGCUUAACACUGUCCUCCCCCUGUUCAUUGUUACAACCUUUCGCGUUUUCUCGUCCACUCGGCUUGAAAUGAUGAGAACUACAACGCGUGAGUGAUUGCUAAUUCCGUUUGUCUUCUCGUUGCUCUCUAUCUCUUUCUCUCUCUCACCUGGGCUCGAACGCAGGUACAGUCGGCAAAUAAAGUAUCGGAACACUCAAUGGUCGACUGAAUAGACUUUGAGCGAAACCUUUAGACAUGGUGUUGUGUUGGUUAGGUGGUAGACUCGACCCACUGUUACCUACCAACACAAAACCAUGUCUAUAGGCUUCGGGGAAAUUCUGUUCAAUCGACCCAACAAAGGUGUCGAUACUUUUUUUACCGACUGUACAUUUGUUUACUCAUCAUUUUUUCGCUUCAUUAAUCCAUCACGCCCAGAGCCGAUCAGGUAAAGGUAUUCUAAUGGACUUUUAUAAUACAUGACCGGACACUAAUUUCCCUGAUCUAUAUUAACAGGCGGGUGGUAAUUAUAAUGAGCUCAGGACUUAAUCAACGAAUCUCUCGGUGAAACGUCAUUCGCUAAGCAGAUUUCGAAAGGUGAUCAGGUAAGAGGCUAACAGAGAGUGAGAAUGAGUGAGAGGGAGCAUGGGGGAGAAGGAGGGGAGAAGGGGGGAUAAGGGGGGGGAGAAGAGGGGAGAUGUGAGGUAUAUUUCUUUAUAUCUGGACAAUCGAGUGCCCUUUCUUCCCAUUCCCUUUAUUGUGUUGAGAAAGGGGAGAUGGGAGAAAGGGGAAAGGGUGCAGGGGAAGCAGUGAGGGUAGAAAAGAUGGAGACGCGAGAAGAUAGGGAAGAUGAUAGGAAGGUAAGGGAGGGGAAGAGGUUGAUGAGGGAAGGAGGAGGAGGAAAGACAGUGUAGACGUGACAAGGGAGAGAUGAUAAUGGGAGGGGAAGAGGUAGAUGAUCGGUGGCGGUGGGAUGGGUAAUAAGAGGGAGGGGAAGGGAGGGGAGUGUUAGGGAAGAGGUAGAUGAUGGGAGGAGGGGGAAGGGAAGAAGAGGGAUGGAGAGGGACGGGAGUGUGAGGGAGGAGGUAGAUGAUAGGAGGAGGAAGGGGAAGAAGAGGAAGGGGAAGGGAGGAGGUAGAUGAUAGGAGAAGGAAGGGGAAGAAGAGGAAGGGAAUGGGAGGAGGUAGAUGAUAGGAGGAGGAAGGGAAAGGGAGGAGGUAGAUGACAGGAGAAGGAAGGGGAAGAAGAGGAAGGGGAAGGGAGGAGGUAGAUGAUAGGAGGAAGAAGGGGAAGAAGAGGGCGAGGAGGUGAUAACUAAACCUAUCCUCACCAAUACCAACAAUGACAAUAAAAAUGGCAAUAAUCAACAACAACAAGAACAGUGACGAUGAAGGGAGGUCAAUAAUAGAAAGAUGAUAAUGGUAGCGAUCAGAAGAGGUCAGUCUAGAACCGCAGACUCAAGGGAACAGACCACAGACCGCUUAGACGACACACCUGGCCCGGGUCUAAUUAAGGUCCAUUUGGGUUACCUGUAUAAUGGUCUCAAGAUUGACUUAACGUUUAAAGCUCGUUCACCUUCGUUCUAAUUCCUCGUUCAGCCUUUUUCCUUCGUUCAACAGUACGAAUUCACAAGAUCAACAGCUUAACUAUAAUACAACGUCUCAUUAACACUAUCAUCUGCAAAAUAUGACGGACUACAUCAUUAUAAAUUAGCUAACAUAAGAACAACAGUUGACUUGACGUAAUAAUAAUAAUAAUAAUAAUAAUAAUAAUAAUAAUAAUAUCUUCGGCCAAUCACGACGCGAGUUUAACAUCGUAAUUACGUCACCGGCUUAGGUUUUAAUGACGUCACAAGUUCGCUUUUUUCAGCCUUACAAGAAUCACCGGUUUUGUGUUUUUGGCUCACCAAUUAACGUCGAACUAAAGAACAAUGGACUACUUAAGGAGUAAACAGUAUCAUCGUCAUCAUCCUCUCUCGUUCCCUCUCUCCAACGGGAUCACAAACACGAACACAACAUAAACAAACACUUCCACCAAUCGCGCCAAUUCUGUUUCUCGUCUUCUGGAUCUGUUGUUUCUUUGAUGCCCGACUCAAGAACAGGUCAAAAACGCGUUCCCUCAAUCACAUACACGUACAGAACAUGAAUGAAACAGACAACGGACAGGAGCCUCCACACGCAAUUUCCACACAAUUAUGAAGCAAGACAAAAAUAUUAACGAUUGUGUAAACAGGGAAAAAACAAAACAUGACAAGACAUAACC